ACAGAGGCAGAACCCACUUUCAAGUUCAUUUAAGUAUUGAAGAAUUCAGUUCCUUGUAGUCUUAGGACUGAGGUUUUUAGUUUCCUAUGUAUCAUUGGUUGGAGGCCUCCCCCAGUUUCUUGCCAUGUGGAGUUCCCCAAUAUGGCCAUUUACUUCAAAGGAGAAAAAGAGACCCAACAAACAAGAACUACAAUGCUAUAUAAUGUCAUUAUAUAACCUCAUACAUCUUAUCACCUUGCCAAAUUUUAUUGAUUAAAAGCAAGUUAAAGACCUGCCUACACUCUAAAGAAAGAGAUCACACAGGGUAUAAACAUCUGGAGCCACUUGCCAGCCUAAGAUUCCCCAUCUAUUGUGCUAUUUCAUCUGAACAGAAGGAAACAUCUCAGCCAAAGAUAAAGUAUGAAGGGAGACUGGGAGCUGAGAUCAAAAGUUCCAAAAGUAUCCAAAUCUCAUGAUUAGAGAUCUAAAGGAUUCCUAAAGUCACUUAAGCCCUCCUCCCAGAUGCCAUCCGCUGGGCCCAGGCCAUGAAUCUUCUCAGAAUGUUAUCCUAAAGGCCUCCUGUGAGAAUGGGGAAAAAAAAGAGCAUGAGUUGUUCCUCAUCCUCAAGAAGAGCUCCCACUAUCACACAGCCUGCUGGCCGCGUGCUGUUCUGCAUGGGGCACUCUGCCAGCUCCUAAUUUAGAAGGAAGAGUCUAUGCAUGAGAGACCCAUAUGGAAAUGCCAACAUCUUUCUCCUAAUAAAACAAACUAGCAAAUGUGUAUGGAGAGGAUAGGAAAACAACACAGAAGGUACCUUUACCUACAUUCUUCCUUUUUCAUAUUCCUUAUUGGAGAACAUCACAGUAUUGGUGAUUUUGAAGAUAUUAUAAGAAUUCAGCAGAAAUGAUGGUGUGCCAAUUCUGGACUACCCUUCCAAGACCUUGCAUGCUCUGUUUGCUCUUUGGAACCCUGGAACCACCAUGAAGACAAGCCUGGCUGGGGCUGCUGCAGGACUGGAGACAGUUGUCAUAGUCAUCCUAUUGCUCCAGCCAACAGCCAACCAACCCUAGAAGCAUCACUGCUUCACUGACCAGAUACAGAAGAGGGGAUCUGUACAGUUGACUGCAGAUACAGAAGAGGGUCAAGAUGAACCCAAAAUUGCCCAACUGAUUCCAGCCUAAAUUAUAAACUAAAUAAAUGGCUGUUUA